CAAGUCCACGGCAAGAUGACUCAGCUCUUUGGGUGGUAGGGCUGACCUCAGCCUAGGCUACAGAGACAGGAUGAGACGUCCGGAGAACAAGAGUGUUCUAGAACCCCUGAGGCUCCCCAUACCCCGUGAACCUGCAGAGGCCACAAGAAAUGAUGAGAUCUCAGGGUCUGCUCUCUUCUCAGAGAUCCUCAGAUAUCCAGCACGAGGUACCAGGACCCUUACCUUGCAUCUUAGCAGCUGCGAUCACAUCCCCAGCCGAGAUGCUGGACACAUUGACCAGGUAGAUGGGACAGUGAGUCUGAAGACAAGAGACAGGAGGAAGUCUCGGUACCUGCCCACUUCCCCCCCCUCCCCCCGAAAGCUGCCAUGUACCCAAACUACCCCUCCAUCAGCCCUGCACCAACAUACAUCCCUGCAUGUCAUGCGUCACUCAUCCCUAGAUGAGAGUUCACACUCGGGGGAUGCAGGGCUGGCGGUCUGAGCACACAACAGGGUGCGAAUUGUGUGGAGCGAGGCGGAAACAGAUGGAAGCCAGCAUCGGGGACCACCAAUCUAAGUGACCUCAGGCUGCAGCUGGAACCACGUUGCGGGAAAUCUAUCGUUCUAGAGCCGGUAGUUCCGAUUAUCUGAGCAAAUCAGACCCUUCAGCGACAUCCUGCAGGAAGGGAUGGCCUUUCCAUGGCACAAAGUACUCUCCCUGAGUCCCAGCAGCUGUACGGAGCGGAGUAAGUGAUGCCGCCACUCUGAUUUCAGAUGAUGAAGUAGCGGAUCAGAGGGGGCAUGAUGUGCAUGAUGUGCAGGUGGCUGAAAGCAUGUAUUUAUCAGAUAAGAGCAAGGCUCUGAUUUCUGGCAUCAUCUCUAGCUGGUUCCCGCCACGCUCCGCCAGUGCCUUGUUAAGGCCUUUUCCUGAAUCAAACCCGGGACAGAAGCUGGAACACUGAGGCCCCAGCGGCACAGGGUUAAAUUCUAACUGCCUAAGCUACUUAUACUUGAGCAAUGAAUCUCCGCUUUAGCGCUCCAGCUUCAUCAAGCUCAAAGGGGUGGGGCAGAGAGCUGGGGCGGGCAGGAUGCACACCGGAACUCUGGGACUAACACGUCCCUUCAGCCGGCGUUCCACCCCCCUCUCCCCGGGAGCCACUUGGGGCACUGGCCUCCAGACAAGAAUGAGUUCACACCACGGUCCCAGGGGGGAG